UUUACUCAUUACUCUUGGGUGUUUCCCCUCCGCCAAAAAUCUGACACCGCGCCCACCCUACUACGCUUCUUCUCCUACGUUCACACUCAAUAUAACCUCUCUGUUAACUGUGUGCAGUGUGAUAAUGGCGGCGAGUUUCUCUCCUUCCCCCUCCGCGACCACUUCUCUCGCCACGGUGCCAUCUUCCGACUCUCCUGCCCAUAUACAUCUCCCCAGAACGGCAAAGCCAAACGCCUUCUCCGCACCACCAACGACGUUCUGCGCACCUUGCUCAUCCAUGCCCAUAUGCCACCCGAGUAUUGGGUUAAGGCCCUCCACACCGCAAAUCACCUCAUCAACCGGCGCCCCUCGUCCGCCAUGAACAACAACACGCCCUACUACCUCCUCCACGGCAGCCACCCCACCUACGACCACCUUCGUGUAUUUGGUUGCCUCUGUUUUCCCAAUCUCACACACCUUGCGCCCCACAAGCUCGAUGCCCGGUCCACACCAUGCGUCCUCCUUGGUUACCCCCUUGAGCACAAGGGGUACCACUGCAUGGACCUUCGCUCCCGUCGCGUUUAUCUCUCCCGGCAUGUCACUUUUGACGAGAGUAGAUUUCCCUUCGCUGAGACUGCCUCACAA
rnacentral:rRNA from 1 species